rnacentral:rRNA from 1 species
AGUGAACGCUGGCGGUAGGCCUAACACAUGCAAGUCGAACGGCAGCACAGGAGAGCUUGCUCUCUGGGUGGCGAGUGGCGGACGGGUGAGGAAUACAUCGGAAUCUACUCUGUCGUGGGGGAUAACGUAGGGAAACUUACGCUAAUACCGCAUACGACCUACGGGUGAAAGCAGGGGACCUUCGGGCCUUGCGCGAUUGAAUGAGCCGAUGUCGGACUAGCUAGUUGGCGGGGUAAAGGCCCACCAAGGCGACGAUCCGUAGCUGGUCUGAGAGGGUGACCAGCCACACUGGAACUGAGACGCGGUCCAGACUCCUACGGGAGGCAGCAGUGGGGAAUAUUGGACAAUGGGCGCAAGCCUGAUCCGGCCAUACCGCGUGGGUGAAGAAGGCCUUCGGGUUGUAAAGCCCUUUUGUUGGGAAAGAAAUCCAGCUGGCUAAUACCCGGUUGGGAUGACGGUACCCAAAGAAUAAGCACCGGCUAACUUCGUGCCAGCCGCCGCCGUAA